GCGGGAAUAGCUCAGUGGUAGAGCUCCUCGUUGCCAACGAGGUGGUCGGGAGUUCGAGUCUCCUUUCCCGCUCCA
rnacentral:tRNA from 1 species